rnacentral:rRNA from 1 species
AUUGAACGCUGGCGGCAUGCCUUACACAUGCAAGUCGAACGGUAACAGGUCUUCGGAUGCUGACGAGUGGCGAACGGGUGAGUAAUACAUCGGAACGUGCCCGAGAGUGGGGGAUAACGAAGCGAAAGCUUUGCUAAUACCGCAUACGAUCUCAGGAUGAAAGCAGGGGACCGCAAGGCCUUGCGCUCACGGAGCGGCCGAUGGCAGAUUAGGUAGUUGGUGGGAUAAAAGCUUACCAAGCCGACGAUCUGUAGCUGGUCUGAGAGGACGACCAGCCACACUGGGACUGAGACACGGCCCAGACUCCUACGGGAGGCAGCAGUGGGGAAUUUUGGACAAUGGGCGCAAGCCUGAUCCAGCCAUGCCGCGUGCAGGAUGAAGGCCUUCGGGUUGUAAACUGCUUUUGUACGGAACGAAAAGACUCUGGUUAAUACCUGGUGUCCAUGACGGUACCGUAAGAAUAAGCACCGGCUAACUACGUGCCAGCAGCCGCGGUAAUACGUAGGGUGCGAGCGUUAAUCGGAAUUACUGGGCGUAAAGCGAGCGCAGGCGGUUAUAUAAGACAGAUGUGAAAUCCCCGGGCUCAACCUGGGAACUGCAUUUGUGACUGUAUAGCUAGAGUACGGCAGAGGGGGAUGGAAUUCCGCGUGUAGCAGUGAAAUGCGUAGAUAUGCGGAGGAACACCGAUGGCGAAGGCAAUCCCCUGGGCCUGUACUGACGCUCAUGCACGAAAGCGUGGGGAGCAAA